ACACGACUACAUUAGAUACCCGGGGUAGUCCCAGCCGUAAACGAUACUCGCUAGGUGUCGGCCACGGUGCGACCGUUGUCGGUGCCGUAGGGAAGCCGUGAAGCGAGCCACCUGGGAAGUACGGCCGCAAGGCUGAAACUUAAAGGAAUUGGCGGGGGAGCACCACAACGGGUGGAGCUUGCGGUUUAAUUGGAUUCAACGCCGGAAAUCUUACCGGGACCGACAGCAACAUGAAGGCCAGGCUGAAGACUUUGCCGGAUUAGCUG
rnacentral:rRNA from 1 species